GAUAAACGCUGGCGGCGUGCCUUAUGCAUGCAAGUCGAACGAGAUCAAGGCUUCGGCCUGAAGUCUAGUGGCGGACGGGUGAGUAACACGUACGUGACCUGUCUGGACGUGGGGAAUAACCAGCCGAAAGGUUGGCUAAUACCGCAUACGGUUACUGCUUGGAAGCAGCAAACCAAAGUCGCAAGACGCGUUCAGAGGGGCGUGCGGCCGAUUAGCUAGUUGGUGUGGAACGGCGCACCAAGGCGGUGAUCGGUAGCUGGUCUGAGAGGAUGGUCAGCCACACUGGGACUGAGACACGGCCCAGACUCCUACGGGAGGCAGCAGUGGGGAAUCUUGGACAAUGGGCGCAAGCCUGAUCCAGCCAUGCCGCGUGGGUGAAGAA
rnacentral:rRNA from 1 species